GGCGGCGUGCUUAACACAUGCAAGUCGAACGGGAUCCGGAAUGCUUUUUGUGUUUUGGUGAGAGUGGCGAACGGGUGAGUAACACGUGAGUAACCUGCCCCCUUCUUUUGGAUAACCGCAUGAAAGUGUGGCUAAUACAGGAUAAUCCAGGCUGGUCGCAUGAUUGGUUUGGGAAAUGCUUUGUUGUGGUGGGGGAUGGGCUCGCGGCCUAUCAGCUUGUUGGUGGGGUGAUGGCCUACCAAGGCGGUGACGGGUAGCCGGCCUGAGAGGGUGGGCGGUCACACUGGGACUGAGAUACGGCCCAGACUCCUACGGGAGGCAGCAGUGGGGGAUUUUGCACAAUGGGCGCAAGCCUGAUGCAGCGACGCCGCGUGAGGGAUGAAGGCCUUCGGGUUGUAAACCUCUUUCGCUGGGUUGAAAGGCCAUGCUUUGGGUGUGGUUGAUUUGAACUGGUAAAGAAGUACCGGCUAACUACGUGCCAGCAGCCG
rnacentral:rRNA from 1 species